rnacentral:lncRNA from 1 species
UCCAGGAGCACGGCGGCCCGCCCGGCUCCGCUCGCGUGGGAGAGGAUGCGCCCCGGGCCGAGGCCCCUCCCCGCGGGGCUGCGGGUUGGAGAAGGCGCUUCCUUAGAGGGGUGUGUUGCGGGAUGGGGGUGUCCUGGCACCGGGCGCCCUUUCCGGCUCCAUGUAGAGCCACACCAUCGCGGCUCUGCACUAGAUUGCGUGCGCAGGAUCUCCUCCCUUCAAGGCAGGUUGAGUCGACAGGGUUCGCUCCCGUCCUGGGAGUCUACUCCUCAUCUUGGACUUCCUUCUUUCUCUGAACACCUACUGUGUACCAGCGUGGCGCUGAGGAAGCAUAUGUGAAGACAGGACAAUGUGUGGAGUGCCUUGGAAGUGUGCGUGACUGUUGCUGCUGACAGCCGAGCGGGGAAAGCCACAUUUUGCUUGGUUUGUGUCAGUAGCAUCAUCUACCAUCCCUGUCAUCUUCCAUGGAAAGUGGAAAGGGGAAGUUAGAUUCCCAAGGAGAAUGUCUGCUCUUGGGCUGAAUGAAAACAGUUUCCUUGUAUGAACGAGGGAAAAACAGUACAGAAUAGGACAGGGUGAAUCGUCCCACAAGACGCCACUGCAUCUACC